rnacentral:rRNA from 1 species
UACGAAGGGGGCUAGCGUUGCUCGGAAUCACUGGGCGUAAAGGGCGCGUAGGCGGCACUGUUAGUCAGGCGUGAAAGUCCUGGGCUCAACCUGGGAACUGCGCUUGAUACGGCAGAGCUAGAGGAUGGAAGAGGGUCGCGGAAUUCCCAGUGUAGAGGUGAAAUUCGUAGAUAUUGGGAAGAACACCGGUGGCGAAGGCGGCGACCUGGUCCAUUACUGACGCUGAGGCGCGACAGCGUGGGAGCAACAGG